rnacentral:misc_RNA from 1 species
GAUGAAGAACGUAGCGAAAUGCGAUACGUAGUGUGAAUUGCAGAAUUCAGUGAAUCAUCGAAUCUUUGAACGCACAUUGCACCUCUCGGUAUUCCGGGAGGUAUGCCUGUUCGAGCGUCAUUUGUACCCUCAAGCUCUGCUUGGUGUUGGGUGUUUGUUCCGCCUCUGUGUGUGAACUCGCCUCAAAACAAUUGGCAGCCCUUAAAAUCAGUGGCGGCGCCAUCUGGCUCUAAGCGUAGUAAUUCUUCUCGCUAUGGAGUCCUGGUGGAUGCUUGCCAUCAACCCCCAAUUUUUCUAUGGUUGACCUCGGAUCAGGUAGGGAUACCCGCUGAACUUAAGCAUAUCAAUAAGCGGAGGA